rnacentral:rRNA from 1 species
UACAGAGGGGGCAAGCGUUGUUCGGAAUUACUGGGCGUAAAGGGCGCGUAGGCGGCCAGCACAAGUCAGUUGUGAAAUCUCCGAGCUUAACUCGGAAAGGUCAACUGAUACUGUGCGGCUAGAGUGCGGAAGGGGCAACUGGAAUUCUUGGUGUAGCGGUGAAAUGCGUAGAUAUCAAGAGGAACACCUGCGGCGAAGGCGGGUUGCUGGGCCGACACUGACGCUGAGGCGCGAAAGCCAGGGGAGCAAACGGG